UAAUAAGUGUUUUAUGGCACUUUUUAAAUCCAUAUCCACCUUGUGUGCAAUGUCGGUCGAUCUUCUUUUUUUGAGGAUCGACCAAACAUCGACCUUUAUUUUUUAACUCUUUGUCUGAAAAAUAUUAUGAAUAAACAAUUCAAAAUAC
rnacentral:misc_RNA from 1 species